AUUUUUGGUAGGUACCACGGCGGAUGAUCUAUUCCCCCUCUUUGAUCGGUAAGGCAAGGUGGUGGACGUGUUCAUCCCUAGAGAUUGCAGGACUGGGGAAUCGCGUGGUUUUGCGUUCCUGAGGUAUAAAUAUGCUGAUGAGGCUCAGAAAGCAGUGGAAAGGCUUGAUGGCAAGUUCUUCCCUUUGUUUUUACGGUCGGCCCUUCUUCCCGUCGCGCCGAUCCCGUUAGCGACGCUUCGUUUCAGAUUAUUGAUCCCCUCCGGUCACGAAAAUGGAAAUUGCCUACCUACGUACGUUUGAUCUGAGAGUGAUUGGCGAAGAAUUUGUGCAAGAUUGUAGACGGAUGAGGAUUUGGCAUUGAAGAAUAUGUUGAAGGAGUUCUUGCCUCGGAGGUCGGCAUUCAGAAACUUGCCCUUGAAAGUAUGAGCCAAUGCCGCUCACCCUCUAGAUGCUGCUCCGACUACUGAUGUGCCCUCUUGGACGGAAAAUUGGCCCGAGUUCGUUGUCGUUCUUCUUUCCUGACGGUUAUCUCAUUCCCAUUUAGUUGGUUCAACCGAUUCCCAUUUAAUUGGUUCAACGAAGAGGUUCGUCUUCCAACUGAUGCCGCUCAACCCCUUAGAUGCCGCUCCGACUCCUGCUGUACCCUAUCAGGACGGAAUAUUGGGCAGAGUUCAUAGUCGGCCCUUCUUCCCGUCGCGCCGGUCCCAUUAGCGACGCUUCGUUUCGGCUUAGUGAUUCCCUCCGGUCAUGAAAAUGCCAACUCUGCAAGCCUUUCUUCGACUUCUACCGCUAUAAAAUUCAUUGUAUUUAUAGUCGUUGCUGCUACUGUUGAAUUAACUGCUUACGCUUUUAUUUAUUUGUUACUCAAAAUUUUUUAAUUUUUCUUAUAUAUUUGCUAUUUCGUAUUGCUUCA